rnacentral:rRNA from 1 species
CAGCCGCCGCGGGAAUACGUAGGGUGCAAGCGUUAAUCGGAAUUACUGGGCGUAAAGCGUGCGCAGGCGGUUAUAUAAGUCAGAUGUGAAAUCCCCGGGCUCAACCUGGGAACUGCAUUUGAGACUGUAUGGCUAGAGUGUGUCAGAGGGGGGUAGAAUUCCACGUGUAGCAGUGAAAUGCGUAGAUAUGUGGAGGAAUAUCGGUGGCGAAGGCAGCCCCCUGGGAUAACACUGACGCUCAUGCACGAAAGCGUGGGGAGCAAACAGGAUUAGAUACCCCUGUAGUCCCUGUCUCUUAUAC